rnacentral:rRNA from 1 species
GGCCUGGUGCGCGCCGUCCGCUUCGGUUACGGAGUGUGUGCGGUUGUGCGCCUGCCAUCCUUCUGACCAGUAUGCUGUGCCCUUCACUGGGUGUCAGGUGCUGAUCGGAUCUUUUACUUUGAAAAAAUUAGAGUGUUCAAAGCAGGCUUGCGCUAUGAAUACAUUAGCAUGGAAUAAUAAUUUAGGACUUUUGUUCUAUUUUGUUGGUUUCUAGGACGAAAGUA